rnacentral:rRNA from 1 species
AUACGGAGGGGGUUAGCGUUGUUCGGAAUUACUGGGCGUAAAGCGCACGUAGGCGGACUGGAAAGUUGGGGGUGAAAUCCCGGGGCUCAACCCCGGAACUGCCUCCAAAACUUCCAAUCUAGAGAUCGAGAGAGGUGAGUGGAAUUCCAAGUGUAGAGGUGAAAUUCGUAGAUAUUUGGAGGAACACCAGUGGCGGAGGCGGCUCACUGGCUCGAUACUGACGCUGAGGUGCGAAAGCGUGGGGAGCAAACAGAAUUAGAUACCCUAGUAGUCC